AUUGAACGCUGGCGGCAGGCCUAACACAUGCAAGUCGAGCGGAUGAAGGGAGCUUGCUCCUGGAUUCAGCGGCGGACGGGUGAGUAAUGCCUAGGAAUCUGCCUGGUAGUGGGGGAUAACGUCCGGAAACGGGCGCUAAUACCGCAUACGUCCUGAGGGAGAAAGUGGGGGAUCUUCGGACCUCACGCUAUCAGAUGAGCCUAGGUCGGAUUAGCUAGUUGGUGGGGUAAAGGCCUACCAAGGCGACGAUCCGUAACUGGUCUGAGAGGAUGAUCAGUCACACUGGAACUGAGACACGGUCCAGACCCCUACGGGAGGCAGCAGUGGGGAAUAUUGGACAAUGGGCGAAAGCCUGAUCCAGCCAUGCCGCGUGUGUGAAGAAGGUCUUCGGAUUGUAAAGCACUUUAAGUUGGGAGGAAGGGCAGUAAGUUAAUACCUUGCUGUUUUGACGAUACCAACAGAAUAAGCACCGGCUAACUUCGUG
rnacentral:rRNA from 1 species